GAGAAUCUCAUUCUCACUCUGCUCACGUUUUUGUUAAAUCAAAAGGUGAGGCAACAGCUUUUGUUCAUUUCAGGUUGUGUUGGAGAAAGGGUAAGACCUGGGGCUACUCAGCAGAAUGUAAAAGGUGCCUCCAUAAAGAAGUGUAUCUGAGAGCGACUGCGUGUGAUUCCACAGCACAGUUGAUGAUGACACCACCAUCCCUCUUGGUGACAGAUGCACUGUUGCAUCCUCCCGACUCUCUGGCCCACUCUGGUUAUGAAUGUUGCUGGCAUGCCAUAGAAAUACUGGGUGUGCUGACCUUGGCUGAAGUAGAAUGCAGGGUUUCUAAUAUUCCCCACUCCUAGAGAGGCGAAUACCAGCUGGGGAUACAGGCAGCAAAGACACAUCCACACAAAGAGCUGUUUAACUGUCCAGAGGCCCUCUGGGUACUCCACCUUUCACUUUAUCCCUUUAAUAUUUCAUGUCCUGGCCCCAACCGUGCUCUGGCCAAAUGCCUCUGCCUGGGUUACUGGAAUAUGGAUGAGAGUGCACACUUACCCAUUUACCUGGAUGUCAGUGGGAAGUGGUUCUAAACAAUACACCUUGCCUCCUCACAACCUCACCUCUGCUCACCUCACUGGGCCCAGAGCUAGCUUGUUAGAAAGAGGAGGAGGUAACGAAGGGGGUCAGGAAGAGACAGAAAAAUCCUACAAAGAGGAGUCUUGGGAUAACAAAUGCACAACAUCAAGUAGAGACGAUGGAGGAUGAUUGUGCUUCUGUUAGAAUUGACGGCUUUGUAUAAAAUAAACAUGCAAGCUGCACAUCUAGUCAUUGUGAAUAUAAUAAAGGUUCUUGUUCGAUAAUGAAA